rnacentral:tRNA from 2 species
CGGGACGUGGCGCAGUUUGGUAGCGCGCACGGUUCGGGACCGUGAGGUCGCUGGUUCGAAUCCAGUCGUCCCGACCA